GCAUGAUUCAGCAGGCAGUUUGCUCAAGUAAAAUCAUACAUGCACAAACACAGCUAACAACUUUCCUCUUUUUAGGACUUGUGUCAGCCUCCUAAGCUAUGCCAAGGCAUUUUCAUUACCAAGGCAUGGACAAGAAUCUGCAAGAUGUUGCAGUUUCUGGGAAGAGAAAUCCUGUUCCACGUGAGGAGCAUCUCUCUGAAGAGCAUUUGUGUUGUACUGGUCUGUCGUGCUUUCACGACAGUUCCCGUCCUGUUCUG